GACGAACGCUGGCGGCGUGCCUAAUACAUGCAAGUCGAGCGAAUCAAUAGGAGCUUGCUCCUGUUGAUUAGCGGCGGACGGGUGAGUAACACGUGGGCAACCUGCCUGUAAGACUGGGAUAACACCGGGAAACCGGUGCUAAUACCGGAUAAUCCUUUUCCUCUCAUGAGGGAAAGCUGAAAGUCGGUUUCGGCUGACACUUACAGAUGGGCCCGCGGCGCAUUAGCUAGUUGGUGAGGUAACGGCUCACCAAGGCGACGAUGCGUAGCCGACCUGAGAGGGUGAUCGGCCAAACUGGGUCUGAGACACGGCCCAGACUCCUACGGGAGGCAGCAGUAGGGAAUCUUCCACAAUGGACGAAAGUCUGAUGGAGCAACGCCGCGUGAGCGAUGAAGGCCUUCGGGUCGUAAAGCUCUGUUGUUAGGGAAGAACAAGUACCGGAGUAACUGCCGGUACCUUGACGGUACCUAACCAGAAAGCCACGGCUAACUACGUGCCAGCCGCCGCAGUAA
rnacentral:rRNA from 1 species